rnacentral:rRNA from 1 species
UGCUUGCACUCAGCGUUUUAAGUGCGAGUGGCGAACGGGUGAGUAACACGUGGGCAAUCUGCCCAAAAGAGGGGGAUAACACUUGGAAACAGGUGCUAAUACCGCAUAAACCAACUGAUCGCAUGAUCGGUUGGGCAAAGAUGGUUCUGCUAUCGCUUUUGGAUGAGCCCGCGGCGUAUUAACUAGUUGGUAAGGUAACGGCUUACCAAGGUGAUGAUACGUAGCCGAACUGAGAGGUUGAUCGGCCACAUUGGGACUGAGACACGGCCCAAACUCCUACGGGAGGCAGCAGUAGGGAAUCUUCCACAAUGGACGAAAGUCUGAUGGAGCAACGCCGCGUGUGUGAAGAAGGUCUUCGGAUCGUAAAACACUGUUGUUAGAGAAGAACACGGAGUAAAGUAACUGUUAUUCCGCUGACGGUAUCUAACCAGCAAGUCACGGCUAACUACGUGCCAGCAGCCGCGGUAAUACGUAGGUGGCAAGCGUUGUCCGGAUUUAUUGGGCGUAAAGGGAACGCAGGCGGUCUUUUAAGUCUGAUGUGAAAGCCUUCGGCUUAACCGAAGAAGUGCAUUGGAAACUGGAAGACUUGAGUGCAGAAGAGGAGAGUGGAACUCCAUGUGUAGCGGUGAAAUGCGUA